GAGGGAAAGGUGAAAAGAACCCCGGAAGGGGAGUGAAAGAGAACCUGAAACCAUAUGCUUACAACAAGUCAGAGCCCGUUAAUGGGUGAUGGCGUGCCUUUUGUAGAAUGAACCGGCGAGUUAUGAUGACGUGCGAGGUUAAGGCUGAAGGGCCGGAGCCGUAGCGAAAGCGAGUCUGAACAGGGCGAAGCAGUACGUCGUUAUAGACCCGAAACCGGACGAGCUAGACAUGAGCAGAGCGAAGUCGGGUUAACACCCGAUGGAGGUUCGAACCGAUGUUCGUUGAAAAGGGCUCGGAUGACUUGUGUCUAGGGGAGAAAUUCCAAUCGAGUUCGGAGAUAGCUGGUUCUCACCGAAAUAGCUUUAGGGCUAGCGUCGAGGGAAACGUGUGUUGGGGGUAGAGCACUGAAUGCCUGAUGGUCUCAUCUAGGGAUACUGAAUGCAAUCAAACUCCGAAUACCAGCGCACAGACUCGGCAGUCAGACUACGGGUGAUAAGGUUCGUGGUCAAAAGGGAAACAGCCCAGAUCGCCAGUUAAGGUCCCCAAAUUCAUGCUAAGUGGGAAAGGAUGUAGGUCCGCCCAAACAGCUAGGAGGUUGGCUUAGAAGCAGCCACCCUUUAAAGAGUGCGUAAUAGCUCACUAGUCGAGUAGGCCCGCGCCGAAAAUGUACCGGGGCUAAGCAUGAUACCGAAACUGCGGAAUUGUCUGUAAAGACAAUUGGUAGGUGAGCGUUCCAAGGGCGACGAAGCCGGACCGAGAGGACCGGUGGAGCGCUUGGAAGUGAGUAUGCCGGUAUAAGUAACGAAAAGUCAGGUGAGAAUCCUGACCGUCAAAAGUCCAAGGUUUCCAGGGGAAGGUUCGUCCGCCCUGGGUUAGUCGGGACCUAAGUCGAGGCUGAGAAGCGUAGACGAUGGCAAGCUGGUUGAUAUUCCAGCACCUGAUUACGGACUGAAGGAGUGACGGAGAAAGAUAGUCAGAGCCGGUAAAUGGAUUCCGGUUGAAGGCAACGAGGGUGUGGGGCAGGCAAAUCCGCCCCGCUCAAAAACCUGAGUACUGAUAACGUAAGUCUGAUGAAUCUCGGCUUCCAAGAAAAGCUUCUAAGGUUAAUCCGUAAUGAGCCCGUACCGUAAACCGACACAGGUGGACGAGGAGAGAAUCUAAAGACGCGCGAGAUAACCCUUGCUAAGGAACUCGGCAAUUUGACCCCGUAAGUUCGCAAAAAGGGGAGCUUUAAGCAAUUAAAGCCGCAGAGAAGCGGCCCAAGCAACUGUUUACCAAAAACACAGCUCUAUGCUAAACCGCAAGGUGACGUAUAUGGGGUGACACCUGCCCAGUGCUGGAAGGUUAAAAGGAGAAGUCAGCGCAAGCGAAGCUUUGAAUUGAAGCCCCAGUGAACGGCGGCCGUAACUAUAACGGUCCUAAGGUAGCGAAAUUCCUUGACAGGCAAGUUCUGUCCCGCACGAAUGGUGUAAUGACUUGGGUAGUGUCUCGGCAAGGGACUCGGUGAAAUUUUACUACCUGUGAAGAUGCAGGUUACCCGCGACUAGACGAAAAGACCCCAUGGAGCUUUACUGUAGUUAGAUAUUGACACCUGGCGAUCAAUGCACAGGAUAGGCGGGAGGCAAUGAAACCGGAUCUUCGGAUUCGGGGGAGCCGACGUUGGGAUACCACCCUUUGAUCGCUAAGUGUCUAACCCGCGGAUUUGUAAUCCGGGGGACCGUGUCUGAUGGGCAGUUUGACUGGGGCGGUCGCCUCCCAAAGAGUAACGGAGGCGCACAAAGGUUGGCUCAGCAUGGUUGGGAAUCAUGCGCAGAGUGCAAUGGCAUAAGCCAGCUUGACUGCGAGACGUACAUGUCGAGCAGAGACGAAAGUCGGUCAUAGUGAACUGGCGGAUCCGAAUGGAAGGGACGCCAAUCAACGGAUAAAAGUUACCCUGGGGAUAACAGGCUGAUGACUUCCAAGAGUACACAUCGACGAAGUCGUUUGGCACCUCGAUGUCGGCUCAUCGCAUCCUGGAGCUGGAGUCGGUUCCAAGGGUUGGGCUGUUCGCCCAUUAAAGCGGUACGUGAGCUGGGUUCAGAACGUCGUGAGACAGUUCGGUCUCUAUCUGUCGCGGGCGCUGGAAAUUUGAAGGGUGCUGUCCCUAGUACGAGAGGACCGGGAUGGACGCACCGCUGGUCCACCAGUUGGCCUGCCAAGGCCACAGCUGGGUAGCCAUGUGCGGAAGGGAUAAACGCUGAAAGCAUCUAAGCGUGAAGCCCCCCCUGAGAUGAGAUUUCCCAUCGCAAGAGUAAGACCCCUCAAAGAUGAUGAGGUUGAUAGGCCGGAGGUGUAAGCGCGGUGACGCGUUCAGCUGACCGGUACUAAUCGGUCGAGGACUUAACUU
rnacentral:rRNA from 1 species